UGAGGUUUUGUGGCUGUGUGUUACACAACAUAAUUGUGGCAAUAGGUAACUGAUACAGAUAUCCAAGUGGAGAUGUCAAGCAGACAGUUGGAUCCGCGUGUCUGAAGGUGUGAGGAGGAUGCUCUGUGGCUAGCUUGUGCUCGGGCACAGCCUUCGGAAAUUGGAAGAAAAGGCGAGUGGCAGCGGGCAGUUGAAGAAACAAAAUCAGAGUGACUCAGUGAUUUGCCUGAGGCCACACAGCCCAUCACCGAUGGAGCCUGUUGGGAAUUCAAGUCAGUUUGGCUCCAAGCCCCCCUCCACCCACUGCCUGUCUCUAAGAUUGAGCCAUAGCUCCACAACCUCAACAAAAUGGUUGAAAAUCUUCCCUAAAAUAGAGUCUCACCAUGUUGCCUAG